rnacentral:rRNA from 1 species
UACGUAGGGUGCAAGCGUUAAUCGGAAUUACUGGGCGUAAAGCGUGCGCAGGCGGUUGUGCAAGACCGAUGUGAAAUCCCCGGGCUUAACCUGGGAAUGGCAUUGGUGACUGCACGGCUAGAGUGUGUCAGAGGGGGGUAGAAUUCCACGUGUAGCAGUGAAAUGCGUAGAGAUGUGGAGGAAUACCGAUGGCGAAGGCAGCCCCCGUGGGAUAACACUGACGCUCAUGCACGAAAGCGUGGGGAGCAAACAGG